CGCGACGCGCGACGCAUCGGUCUGAUCGGUCACCUUGAUUACCUUGAUAUUCGUGCGGUGGGGCUCGAGACGAUAAACAGCGUCGCAAUCAUUCUGCAUGUUGUAUCAUUUUGCGAGAUGCGAACAUGACAAGGAGAGUUCCACAGCAUUCUUCUGAGAGCAAUCGCUAUUAACAGCAGUCUGAUUAAGUAACCAACACGAUAUGUGAACUCAAAUAAAAGAGAGCGGGACAGAGAGAGAGAGAGAGAGAGAGAGAGAGAGAGAGAGAGAGAGCAGGCUGAAUUUUAUCGAGGGGUCCCUGGCGAAAAUAUAAAUUGGAAUGAGUGCUACUUACAAACAAUUAUGGAAAACUAAGAAGAGAUGAAAAGAAGACGUCAUGCUGAUUUAAUUGUGAAAAAAUAAACGAACCACAACUGAUUAGUCGCGCAUUUGCUUUGAGUGUACCAUUCAAGUUAUCGGAUUAAAAGACUUAUUGAUAAUAUAAUUAGUUUAUUCGCGAUUAUAUUAUCUGUGUGUACUUUUCUCGAGUGUGUGUGUCAAAUGUUCUGUGUGUGUCCACGAGAGGAUAAGGCCUUACAAUUCAAACUUUCUGAAGAGGAAGAGGCCCAGGAAGGGCAUCAGGCUCCGGCGAAGCAAGCUUGGGUAUCGUCGUAGCUAUGGCAGACAACUUCGCCCGUUGCGCAUCAAUCGGUGAGUAAAAAAAGUUCAUUUUACAUUGAAGGAUCUAUGAAAAAAAAAUUUUAUCUGAUACACAUGGAUAUGUUGCACAUCCAUAUAGAUGUACCAACGAU